rnacentral:rRNA from 1 species
ACGAUGAUCCCCAUGGCUUGCUGGGGGGAUUAGUGGCGAACGGGUGAGUAACACGUGAGUAACCUGCCCUUAACUCUGGGAUAAGCCUGGGAAACUGGGUCUAAUACCGGAUAUGACUCCUCAUCGCAUGGUGGGGGGUGGAAAGCUUUUGUGGUUUUGGAUGGACUCGCGGCCUAUCAGCUUGUUGGUGAGGUAAUGGCUCACCAAGGCGACGACGGGUAGCCGGCCUGAGAGGGUGACCGGCCACACUGGGACUGAGACACGGCCCAGACUCCUACGGGAGGCAGCAGUGGGGAAUAUUGCACAAUGGGCGGAAGCCUGAUGCAGCGACGCCGCGUGAGGGAUGACGGCCUUCGGGUUGUAAACCUCUUUCAGUAGGGAAGAAGCGAAAGUGACGGUACCUGCAGAAGAAGCGCCGGCUAACUACGUGCCAGCAGCCGCGGUAAUACGUAGGGCGCAAGCGUUAUCCGGAAUUAUUGGGCGUAAAGAGCUCGUAGGCGGUUUGUCGCGUCUGCCGUGAAAGUCCGGGGCUCAACUCCGGAUCUGCGGUGGGUACGGGCAGACUAGAGUGAUGUAGGGGAGACUGGAAUUCCUGGUGUAGCGGUGAAAUGCGCAGAUAUCAGGAGGAACACCGAUGGCGAAGGCAGGUCUCUGGGCAUUAACUGACGCUGAGGAGCGAAAGCAUGGGGAGCGAACAGGAU